GACGAACGCUGGCGGCGUGCCUAAUACAUGCAAGUAGAACGCUGAAGAGAGGAGCUUGCUCUUCUUGGGUGAGUUGCGAACGGGUGAGUAACGCGUAGGUAACCUGCCUUGUAGCGGGGGAUAACUAUUGGAAACGAUAGCUAAUACCGCAUAACAAUGGAUGACACAUGUCAUUUAUUUGAAAGGGGCAAUUGCUCCACUACAAGAUGGACCUGCGUUGUAUUAGCUAGUAGGUGAGGUAAUGGCUCACCUAGGCGACGAUACAUAGCCGACCUGAGAGGGUGGUCGGCCAAACUGGGAAUGAGACAAGGCCCAGACUGCUACGGGAGGCAGCAGGAGGGAAACUUCGGCAAUGGGGGCAACGCUGACCGAGCAACGCCGCGUGAGUGAAGAAGGUUUUCGGAUCGUAAAGCUCUGUUGUAAGUCAAGAACGGGUGUGAGAGUGGAAAGUUCACACUGUGACGGUAGCUUACCAGAAAGGGACGGCUAACUACGUG
rnacentral:rRNA from 1 species